AUACGGAAGGUCCGGGCGUUAUCCGGAUUUAUUGGGUUUAAAGGGAGCGCAGGCGGAGAUGCAAGCGUGACGUCAAAUUUCGGGGCUCAACCCCGUCUCGCGUCGCGAACUGCGUCCCUUGGUUGCGGGAAGGGGAGGCGGAACUCGUGGUGUAGCGGUGAAAUGUAUAGAUAUCACGAAGAACUCCGAUCGCGGAGGCAGCCUUCCGGCCCGUCAACGACGCUCAUGCUCGAAGGUGCGGGUAUCAAACAGGAUUAGAUACCCUGGUAGUCCGCACAGUAAACGAUGGACACCCGCGGUUUGGCCUGUAUGGCUGAGCCGCCAAGCGAAAGCGUUAAGUGUCCCACCUGGGGAGUACGCCGGCAACGGUGAAACUCAAAGGAAUUGACGGGG
rnacentral:rRNA from 1 species